UUCUGUUUGGCAUGGGGA
rnacentral:piRNA from 1 species